AUGGACAAGGACGACAUCCUCUGUUGCCACAUCCUCAAGGUGUUCACCCAUGUUGGAGUUGAUGUCAUACCGGAAAGGUACCUGCUAAGACGGUGGACACCUACUGCUGUACCUAGUGCGCCAGGGACUGGUUAUGAGCAACCGGAUGAAAUGCCUCCUCAAUCAAAGAAGCAGAUAAGGGAGAGGAACAUGAUAUACGAUUUCCAGAAACUAGCAAAGUUUGUGAGUGGUUCUGAUCCAGCACAAGCUAUUGUAUACAAGCAUAUGCGUGCAGCACGUACCGAGAUCGGCCACCUGAACAAGUCCAAGAAAAAGAAAAACCGACUGCUGCAAUGGGGCCAUCAGAUGAUGGCAACCCUCGAGGACCUCCUCCACCUCCAGGCAGCAAUCAGGGGGCUCAUCAUCCAGUUCUGGAUAUAG
rnacentral:rRNA from 1 species